AUGCUACCACUUCAGCAGCACAUAUACUAAAACUGGAAUAAUACAGAGAAGAUAGCAUGGCCCCUUUAAGAGAAAAAAUUUGAAAUAUAUAAUUUUU
rnacentral:snRNA from 1 species